ACACGACUACAUUAGAUACCCGUGUAGUCCUAGCCGUAAACGAUACUCGCUAGGUGUCGGCCACGGUGCGACCGUUGUCGGUGCCGUAGGGAAGCCGUGAAGCGAGCCACCUGGGAAGUACGGCCGCAAGGCUGAAACUUAAAGGAAUUGGCGGGGGAGCACCACAACGGGUGGAGCUUGCGGUUUAAUUGGAUCCAACGCCGGAAAUCUUACCGGGACCGACAGCAACAUGAAGGCCAGGCUGAAGACUUUGCCGGAUUAGCUG
rnacentral:rRNA from 1 species